GACUCGGAGAGGCAGCCCCACCUUCAAUCUGGGUGGGCACCAUCUAAUCAGCUGCCAGCAUAAAAGCAGGAAUGGAAAGAGCAGACUGGCUGAGUCUUCUGACCUCCAUCUUUCUCCCGUGCUGGAUGCUUCCUGCCCUCAAACACUGGACUCCAAGUUCUUCAGCUUUUGGACUCUUGGAUCUACACCAGUGGUUCGCCCGGGGCGCUCAGGCUUUCAGCCACAGACUGAAGCCUGCACUGUGGGUUUUCCUACUUUUGAGGUUUUGGAACUCAGACUGACUUCCUUGCUCCUCAGUUUGCAGAUGGCCUACUGUGGGACUUCACGUUCUGAUAUGGUGGACUACUGGAAGACAGAAAUGAGGGAAUAAAUUGCAUAUGACUUUGAUCUCAAUAAACAGGAUGAACCAACUUUAUUAAGGAGCAAUGUAACUUCCAGAGUACUUAUUAAUGAAUGAAUUUGUGACUUUGACAGCACUAUCCAUGUAGUUGUGUUUACCAUUCCCUGUAAUUAUUGUUAAGACUUUUCUUAAUGUUUGCUUGGGAAAAUACGAUACUUUUGAGCACAUUUCUCUUCCAGAAGACAAUGUACAAAUUUUUUUCCUCUGAGAAAGCACACCAUAUGACAGGAAACCUCAGGUUAAUUAGAACAAAUAAUAGUUUGAAUCCUAAUAGAUAUAGGCAUUCAUUGUCACCAAUGCCCUUCAAAAUCCAGAUUAAAAACACUCUAGGAAACUGCAUUUUCUAGAAUAUAAAACAGGGAGCUUUUUAAAAAAUUUAUAUUGCUAGAAUAAUAAAGUUUUUCAAUUGCUUCUAAGUUAUAUCAUUUUCACUAAAUCAUGUAGUUUCACCUGUACUUUUUUCUAUAAUAUAAAUAUUACAAAGUAAAGUUAUAUUUUAUUGACACUAAGUGAAUUAUUUCAAAAAGUACUAAAAUCAGGAGUACACUCAGUCCCGGAAGUAUUGAGCAAUAUCCAUCAUGAGCACAGUUAAGGAGCAGGAUGUGAACAUAAGCCACGGGAGAGAGGCAAAUGUAUGCCAAUGCAAGGCACCAGCAGUGCCAUGGCGGCUUGUGAACUGCCCCACCGAGCUUGGUGGGGUGAGCUGUUAGAACCUGCAAUGCAGCCUGUGUCCUCGCCUGGUGUUGUGCUAUGCAUUUGUCUUUCAAAUAGGUAGCUUUGGUUCUCCAAAACAUGUGUUUCUCUGGUUAUCCCAGGAGCAGGGAUGGAACUUUUGUUACAGAGGAAACAAACAAGCUCAUAACAACUCUAAAGGAGGGUGUUAAUGGAAGAAUAUGUUAUUAUAUAAUCAUGAGAUAUAUAUUUUAAAAUAUUAUGUUUAUGUUAAAUUAUUAUUUUUGAAGUUCAGAUAGAAGCCUAUGAAUUAUUUCCUUAUAAUUAAUUACUUUUUGUGAAAACUCUAAGUUAAAACACACAAGUUUGUUGGGAGUCUAGGGUUAUGAAGUUCCUUUAUUUUGGGGGCACAGUCAGGGAUAUUUACUGUUUUGGAGUAAUACAUGGGGGAUGUCUGUCUCACUUCACCCAUGCAAUUUCCACUGUUGCUCUAUUCAUUUGGAAUUUCUCUAACAAACUUCGAUAAAUUAUGUAGUUAAAAACAGAAAUUAGAAACAGAAUAGAGAUAAAGAAGUAAUUUUAGUUUUAGGCCCUGCAUAUUUAUCAUGGAGAAGUUUAUCAAAAAAGUUUAUCGUUUAUUUUGAAAAAAGGAAAAUAAAAUAAAAUCAGUAUUAGUAUGUAAUUGAUAAUUUAUUUGUGAUAAUUUAUUAAUUUUUUGGACAAAUUGCAUUCCACAAAAACUUAUUGGGAGAGGCCAUUCUAUCAUUUUUAUAUUAAAUGUGAUGUAAGCUGCUUGCUUUAUAUAAUUACAUUUUACCUUUGAAGAAUUUAUUUUCGUCCUAAUUUUCUAAGAAUGUGGGCAAUAUAUAAAUAUAUCAUCAAAUUCACUCAUAUUAUAACAUAUUAAUAUAUUAAUAACCCCAUCAUAUUUAUAUUACUAUCAUAAACUCUAUUGUGUGUGAUAUUCUUUGUUUUUUAAUAUUUGGUUAAGUAGUCUAUAUUUAAUUUUAUGGUAAAUGAUAAUAUUUGAUAUCAAAGUUUUGUCUUUUCAUAAAGUAAAAUGUAACACUUAAUUGAUUUUCUUUGCUCUGUAUCAAUUUAUAUUAAAUAAGAUUUAGCCAUGACUUGAAAGUUGGAAAGAAUGAAGUAUUAAAAUGUAGGGCUUGCAUUUUCACAUUUAUUCUCUGAUAACAUGUUUUCAGUUUUAUCCCUAGUUAUUAGUAGAUUCAGAUAUUCAGUGAACUUUAGUAGCAUAUGUAUGUCCCAGAAAUUGUUCCAUUGAAUUUACUUUUUAAGAGAUCUCAACAGAAAGUAAAGCAUUAAUAGCAAAUGUAAACUCCAAAAUAGAAAAAAAGUAAUAGAAACAUGUGUGUUUAUGAAGUAUUUAAAGAACAAGAAAUAUCUGUUGCAUUCUCCUAGCUAUCACUAACAAUUAUCCUUAUUAUGUAAUUUAAUACAAGGAAUUGAAAUAUGAACAAGAAAUUUCAGUUUUAGGCCCUGAUAUGCAGUUCGUUUGCCAGUCUUCUUAGAGAACAACAACGAAAAAGACAGCAGUUUGAAUCCUCUACUGGAUGAUCUAUGAAAUGUAGCACCAGAUUUCCUAUUGUAAUAUCUGGAACCAUGUAUGUUUUCAAGCCAUUUAUUUAAGACUAGCUAGCAUUGUUAUGGCCAACUAUAAUUUUAAAUUAUUCAACAAGCUAAUUGUUAGAUUGGUGAAUAACAAUAAGUUGUGGUUUAUUUGCAAUUUAACUUAAAGCUUGUAUCUGUUGCAUUCUACCUUCAAUCAUAGAGUGACAAAUAUAUUUUUGUAAAAUAUGUAAAAUAUAAAAAUUAUCUUCUCUUUGUUUUUAAGUGUAUAUGUGUAUGUUUAUAUUUGCCAAAAAUGUAUGUACAUAUAGAAAAUAUUAGAAGAGCAUGUAUGUAUAAAAUAAAUACAAACAUAUGUCGGAUUUUAAAACAUGCAGGUAUAUCACAUAUUAUAUACUUAUAUCUGAUAUAUAUUGAGGGCUGUGAUCACAUCCCAAUUAUAUUAAAAUGUAAGCAAUAUCAUCUUUGAUAAGUUACUUAUUAAUACUGUCCUCAUGUAUACGUGGUACAAUAAUGAACUUAUCUCACAAGAUUUUUGUGAGAAUUAAAAUGCUUAAUAUAGGCAAUUUUUUACAGAGCAACUAGUGUUGCUGGUCAUUACUUUCAAUUUUUUCUGUUAUACUUACUAUAAUUACUCUGUUAGGGGUAAUAAGUAAUUAAAUAAGUCCAUUAAUAUACUAUAAUUACUAAAAUUACUAAUAUACUACAAUUAAAAGUAAUACAUUUAGAUAAAUACACUUAUCAACUUUACUAAUUUUCUUAUGUUUAACCUUUACAAAACAUAUUCUUCACUCUAGUACUGAAAUGAUUAAAAUGAUAUAAAUUUAUAAAUUAGCUAUGAUUAGUCAUGGCUGAAAAAACAUACCAAAAUGAUACCCAUGUUACUUAUUUAUUUCAAUAGAAAAUGAUGGCUUCUUUUACAUAAGAUUUUCAAUGAUUACUACAAUCACCCACACUAAUUCUGACAUUUGUAAGUAAAAAGAUGAGACAUCCUUUCCAACCCAGCACUUUAGCUACACAGCAGGAUCUAUCGAGUUCGUUAUUUUAAAAAAUAGUCACAAUACAGAAAUGUGAAUUUAAGAUAAUCAUAUUUCUUAAAAAUAUAUUUCUUAAUUUUUCAAAGUAUGGGUCAAGUUCUGAAUCAAGCAUUCAAAAUAUAAACAUAUAGCAUAAGAAUUACUUUGUUCUAUAAGCUCUAUACUUAUUUAUUUAUAUACCAUAUAUUACUAUAUAAUACUAUUAUAAUACUAUAUAAAAAAGUAUAGAACUUUAAGUAAUAAACUUUAUUACUUUAUAUAGUAAUAUAUGGCCUUAAAACAUAUUAUCUUCAUCAAGAACUUCAAUGUAACUAUGAUUUAAAAUUCUUGAAGCAACAAAUAAAACUAUUUAAUGAGAUAUCUGCUAUAUGAGAACAUAGAGUGCCUUUUUUUGAAUCAUCACAUUAUUCUAACAAUUUAAAAUUCUAAAAAUACCUUCAAAAUAUUAUUCUUGCAAGCCAGUAAUUCUUUUAUGUUCUUAUAGACUGGAAAUGUAGUAAAUAAAUAUAUCUCAAAAAUAUCAUCAGAUCAUCUGACCAUAUUUUAAUUUAUACACCCAAAUACUAAGAAAUCUGUUAUUUUUUGUAACAAAAACAAUUAAAAUCAUAUUUGUCUCAAUAAAGCAAGUCAAUUGUACUGCACGAAGAACAAAACAACAGAAAAAGAUAUCUUUGAAGAGAAUUAUUUCUAUUGAAAGCUUAAGUGCCUGACAGGGGCCCAGUAUAAAAUACUUUUAAAAAUAGAGAGCCAUUAUACUAAGGUAAACAUGGAAGUUUGCUAGUGUACGAACUGUUCUCUGGCACUUCUGUACUUAAGUUAUUAUGAAGAAUAAUACUUGUUCUUUAGAAGCCUGGCAAAGCAAUCUUAUCAUAAGGGACACAUGUUUCAUAUCCUUCUCUAAAGCUAAUUGAUUAGUCAUUCAAUAGGUAUUUGAAUUUUCUUAAACAAAAUUCAUCUUCUUCUUUGUUUACAUUUUUGGAAACUCCUAAGUAUGCUGAAAAUAUUCUCUGUAACUCACAGAAGACCAAAAAAAAAAAAAAAAAGCAAACCUAAAAUUGGCCAUUAAGUAUUGUAUAUUGUGUAUACAUAACACAUAUAGCUUAAUAGUCUAUCAGUUAAAUAAAUACUAUAAGCAGAAGAAAAAUUUACAUUAUAUACACGUAAAAUGAAAAGCUGAUAUUUGUAUACAUUUUCCAAAGUGAAUGAUUUAAGUGUUUUCUAUACAAAAGUAUAUGGUCUUAUCAAGAAAUUUGACUUCUGUACUAAUAAACCAGAACAAAU
rnacentral:lncRNA from 10 species